AGAGUUUGAUCAUGGCUCAGAACGUACGCUGGCGGCACGCCUAACACAUGCAAGUCGAACGAAGUAGCAAUACUUAGUGGCAGACGGGUGAGUAACAUGUAGGUAUCUACCCUUUGGCCUGGAAUAACACGAGGAAACUUGUGCUAAUACCGGAUAAGUCUUUACGGAGAAAGCUUUAUGCACCAUUGGAUGAGCCUGCACUUGAUUAGUUUGUUGGUGGGGUAAUGGCCUACCAAGACUGUGAUCAAUAGCUGAUUUGAGAGGAUGAUCAGCCACAUUGGGACUGAGACACGGCCCAAACUCCUACGGGAGGCAGCAGUGGGGAAUCUUGCACAAUGGAGGAAACUCUGAUGCAGCGAUGCCGCGUGAGUGAAGAAGGCCCUUGGGUUGUAAAGCUCUUUCGUCGGGGAAGAAAAUGACUGUACCCGAAUAAGAAGGUCCGGCUAACUUCGUGCCAGCAGCCGCGGUAAUACGAAGGGACCUAGCGUAGUUCGGAAUUACUGGGCUUAAAGAGUUCGUAGGUUGUUGAAAAAGUUAGUGGUGAAAUCCCAGAGCUUAACUCUGGAACUGCCAUUAAAACUUUUCAGCUAGAGUAUGAUAGAGGAAAGCAGAAUUUCUAGUGUAGAGGUGAAAUUCGUAGAUAUUAGAAAGAAUACCAAUUGCGAAGGCAGCUUUCUGGAUCAUUACUGACACUGAGGAACGAAAGCAUGGGUAGCGAAGAGGAUUAGAUACCCUCGUAGUCCAUGCCGUAAACGAUGUGUGUUAGACGUUGGAAAUUUAUUUUCAGUGUCGCAGCGAAAGCGAUAAACACACCGCCCUGGGGA
rnacentral:rRNA from 1 species